rnacentral:rRNA from 1 species
CCUACGGGAGGCUGCAGUGGGGAAUAUUGGACAAUGGGGGCAACCCUGAUCCAGCCAUGCCGCGUGUGUGAAGAAGGCCCUCGGGUUGUAAAGCACUUUCAGUGAGGAAGAACGCCUGGUGGUUAAUACCCAUCAGGAAAGACAUCACUCACAGAAGAAGCACCGGCUAACUCCGUGCCAGCAGCCGCGGUAAUACGGAGGGUGCGAGCGUUAAUCGGAAUUACUGGGCGUAAAGCGCGCGUAGGUGGCUCGAUAAGCCGGUUGUGAAAGCCCCGGGCUCAACCUGGGAACGGCAUCCGGAACUGUCAAGCUAGAGUGCAGGAGAGGAAGGUAGAAUUCCCGGUGUAGCGGUGAAAUGCGUAGAGAUCGGGAGGAAUACCAGUGGCGAAGGCGGCCUUCUGGACUGACACUGACACUGAGGUGCGAAAGCGUGGGUAGCAAACAGGAUUAGAUACCCUGGUAGUC